UACGGAGGGUGCAAGCGUUAUCCGGAUUUCACUGGGGUUUAAAGGGGUGCGUAGGCGGAUAGGGUAAGUCCGUGGUGAAAAUCCUGCAGCUUAAACUGCAAGAACUGCCCAUUGGAUACUAUUUAUCUUUGAAUGUCGUGGAGGGUUAGGCAGAAUAUGGUCAUGUAGCGGUGAAAAUGCUUAGAUAUGACAUAGAAUACCCCAUUGCGAAGGCAGCUAACUACGCGAUAAUUUGACGCUGAUGCACGAAAAGCGUGGGGGAUCAAAACAGGAU
rnacentral:rRNA from 1 species